rnacentral:rRNA from 1 species
GACGAACCGUACGAACGUUAUUCGGAAUCACUGGGCUUAAAGGGUGCGUAGGCGGUGCGGAAAGUUGGGUGUGAAAUCCCUCGGCUCAACCGAGGAAUUGCGCCCAAAACUGCCGUGCUAGAGGAAGACAGAGGUGAGCGGAACUUAGGGUGGAGCGGUGAAAUGCGUUGAUAUCCUAAGGAACACCAGUGGCGAAAGCGGCUCACUGGGUCUUUUCUGACGCUGAGGCACGAAAGCUAGGGGAGCAAACGGG